rnacentral:rRNA from 1 species
UUCGGCCUUAGUGGCGCACGGGUGAGUAACACGUGGGAAUAUACCUUUCGGUGGGGGAUAACGUCGGGAAACUGACGCUAAUACCGCAUACGCCCCUUGGGGGAAAGAUUUAUCGCCGAGAGAUUAGCCCGCGUCCGAUUAGCUAGUUGGUGAGGUAACGGCUCACCAAGGCGACGAUCGGUAGCUGGUCUGAGAGGAUGAUCAGCCACACUGGGACUGAGACACGGCCCAGACUCCUACGGGAGGCAGCAGUGGGGAAUAUUGGACAAUGGGCGCAAGCCUGAUCCAGCCAUGCCGCGUGAGUGAUGAAGGCCUUAGGGUUGUAAAGCUCUUUCGGCGGGGACGAUGAUGACGGUACCCGCAGAAGAAGCCCCGGCUAACUUCGUGCCAGCAGCCGCGGUAAUACGAAGGGGGCUAGCGUUGUUCGGAAUUACUGGGCGUAAAGCGCACGCAGGCGGUUUGGUCAG